rnacentral:rRNA from 1 species
UACGUAGGGUGCGAGCGUUGUCCGGAAUUACUGGGCGUAAAGAGCUCGUAGGUGGUUUGUCGCGUUGUCCGUGAAAACUCACAACUCAAUUGUGGGCGUGCGGGCGAUACGGGCAGACUGGAGUACUGCAGGGGAGACUGGAAUUCCUGGUGUAGCGGCGGAAUGCGCAGAUAUCAGGAGGAACACCGGUGGCGAAGGCGGGUCUCUGGGCAGUAACUGACGCUGAGGAGCGAAAGCAUGGGGAGCGAACAGG